GACUACAUAACAUAAAAUUAAAUAUUUACAUCUUAAAAUUAAGUACACUCAUAAAAAGUUGAGACAAAAUCUAAUGAUGGGCCACAGCAUGUGCUUUUACGGCCUGUUGGGAACCAGGAAAAGGGCUGAGAGGGCUAAGGAACACAGCAGAGGAAGGAGACCUGCCUAAGGAGUGGCAGAGGCAGAGCGGGAGAAAGGGGGCCGAGUAAGGAGGUUACAAGAGGAGAGACGACAGAAGGACUGCAAGUUUUGAGGUAUUAAAUAACGCUUCACUUAGAAUUUAUGACCUGCAGUUUGCUUCUUAGAACAUACAUGUUCACGGUUUAAAUAUGUCUGAGUAUGUGUGUAUAAAGUUCCCUUCUUCAUUCAAGAGAGACUCCU
rnacentral:lncRNA from 1 species